AGAUAAACAAAGGGAACCGCACAAGUAAUACAAGGUAUUUCCUUAGCUUCGAUAAGAAAAUGUGAAAGUCACUGCCAUUGGGACUUCGAUUCGGGCCAAGGGACUGCCUCUUGGGCUACUGGAACAGCAGAAAAAAUUAAGGCUUUUGGAAACGUGCGGCACGUGAGCAAAUAAUCCAAUGGCUGGGUAAAUAAAUAGCUCUACCCCGGCCAUAAACGAUAACGUCAAGCAUUUGAUAACCUUACUCUUAUCAAUAUGUCCAACAUGCAAUAAACUCCAAAGAGAAC
ensembl:ncRNA lncRNA:CR45748 long non-coding RNA:CR45748